rnacentral:lncRNA from 1 species
GGGUCACAAAGACUACUUAGGGGCCAAAUCCUCAUUUGAGCCCUGGCAGUCUGACUCCAGGUUCCAUGGCCUUAGCCAUCAUGCUGUGGUGCUGUUUGAAUUUUAUGCAAUAAGGAUGUGUUUGUAUUUUGAAAUCCCCUUAUCACAUGCAAAAAAAAAAAAAAAAAAAAAAAAAAACCUCGAUAAAAUCCUCUUUGAACCCUUUUAUUUACUCCCGUAGCCUUUUUUAGAUUCUAGCUACUGGCUGUCCCCUUCCCCAACAGAACCCAUUCUCGGAAUCUCCGCUAUUGUUCCAAACAAUUCAGCUUUGACCCCAAAGUGGGGCACACUCCAAAAUAAAGCAAAAAGCUAAGAUAGUUUACCAGGCCAAAGCUCUCUGGAAGUCCCUUAAGCAACUAUCUGUGGUUAUCUCAACAUGCCACUGGAAGUGAGGUUGUCACUCCAAAUGUAAAUGAUGAUCUAAUUAUUUACAUAACAAAAGCAAACAUUUCUAGCUUGGGGGUUGGGGGGGAGAAAUUCUCCACUAAGAAAAAAAAUUAGACUUUCUCUGUAUCUUUACUUUUACCAUACACAAGGCACCAUAGCAAGCACCAUGGAAGAUAUGAGCUUGUACAAGAAAUAGAAUGUGGGAGAUGUAUUAAUGAUCUAUUUAUGAUGUUCCCUAUGAUAGGAAAGCAGAAAGUUCCGGUAUAUAGGGAAUUCCUUACAGAAUAUUAUUAUGGGUAAGGGCCUUUGGAAAGAGAUUAAAAUAUCAAAGUAAAUAUGUUUUGGGUUGGAAUGCACUGAUUUGACAUUAGUGAAUCAAAUAUUCACUAAUCUUUGAACC